UACGUAGGGUGCAAGCGUUGUCCGGAAUUAUUGGGCGUAAAGAGCUCGUAGGCGGUUUGUCGCGUCUGCUGUGAAAUCCCGAGGCUCAACCUCGGGCUUGCAGUGGGUACGGGCAGACUAGAGUGCGGUAGGGGAGAUUGGAAUUCCUGGUGUAGCGGUGGAAUGCGCAGAUAUCAGGAGGAACACCGAUGGCGAAGGCAGAUCUCUGGGCCGUAACUGACGCUGAGGAGCGAAAGCGUGGGGAGCAAACAGG
rnacentral:rRNA from 1 species